rnacentral:rRNA from 1 species
UACGAAGGGUGCAAACGUUGCUCGGAAUUAUUGGGCGUAAAGCGCACGUAGGCGGCUUUUCAAGUCGGAUGUGAAAUCCCUCGGCUUAACCAAGGAAGUGCAUCCGAAACUGGAGAGCUUGAGUACUUAAGAGGAUCGCGGAAUUCCCGGUGUAGAGGUGAAAUUCGUAGAUAUCGGGAGGAACACCGGUGGCGAAGGCGGCGACCUGGGACAAUACUGACGCUGAGGUGCGAAAGCGUGGGGAGCAAACAGG